rnacentral:rRNA from 1 species
AUUGAACGCUGGCGGCAGGCCUAACACAUGCAAGUCGAGCGGAUGAAGGGAGCUUGCUCCUGGAUUCAGCGGCGGACGGGUGAGUAAUGCCUAGGAAUCUGCCUGGUAGUGGGGGAUAACGUCCGGAAACGGGCGCUAAUACCGCAUACGUCCUGAGGGAGAAAGUGGGGGAUCUUCGGACCUCACGCUAUCAGAUGAGCCUAGGUCGGAUUAGCUAGUUGGUGGGGUAAAGGCCUACCAAGGCGACGAUCCGUAACUGGUCUGAGCGGAUGAUCAGUCACACUGGAACUGAGACACGGUCCAGACUCCUACGGGAGGCAGCAGUGGGGAAUAUUGGACAAAGGGCGAAAGCCUGAUCCAGCCAUGCCGCGUGUGUGAAGAAGGUCUUCGGAUUGUAAAGCACUUUAAGUUGGGAGGAAGGGCAGUAAGUUAAUACCUUGCUGUUUUGACGUUACCAACAGAAUAAGCACCGGCUAACUUCGUG